UACGUAGGGUGCAAGCGUUAAUCGGAAUUACUGGGCGUAAAGCGUGCGCAGGCGGUUCGCUAAGACCGAUGUGAAAUCCCCGGGCUUAACCUGGGAACUGCAUUGGUGACUGGCGGGCUAGAGUAUGGCAGAGGGGGGGUAGAAUUCCACGUGUAGCAGUGAAAUGCGUAGAGAUGUGGAGGAAUACCGAUGGCGAAGGCAGCCCCCUGGGCCAAUACUGACGCUCAUGCACGAAAGCGUGGGGGAGCAAACAGG
rnacentral:rRNA from 1 species